rnacentral:pre_miRNA from 1 species
CGCCAAUAUCAGUUGAAGCUGCCAGCAUGAUCUAAACUAUCCUUCUUAUUAUGGAGGGAAGAUCUAGAUCAUGUGGCAGUUUCACCUGUUGAUGGG